CUGGGUGCUGUUGUACCUCGACAGCAAACUCAGGAGGUUUGCUAGAAAGCAUCAGAUGGAUGGCAAAGAAGUGCAGGGAGCACCACUAAGUCCAGCUGCUGGACAGCAUCCGAUGUGUGGUGAAGGAGUGCCAAGAUCUAUGUCAUGAAUUACCUCUAAGAGCAGCUGAGGUUUGCUAGAAAGCAUCAGGUGGAUGGCAAAGAAGUGCAAGUUGGGCCAAGAUCAGCUAAACAAGAUGCAAUGUAAAAACUGCUUUAAAUUGAUAUUAAAAGUGCAUUUAGAUUGGAAUUUGUGUUUGCCACUGCAGGAAUCUCCUCCAAUGCCAGCUACUAGAAAGCAUCUGAUGGAUGUCAAAGGAGUGCCAAGAUCUAUGUCAUGCAAGUUCAACUAUAAAAGCUGCAACUUCCAUGCAAAAAGGCUAAUUAAAACCGUCUUAAAUGGAUAUUAAACACAGAUUUAGUUUGCAAUUUGUGUUUCCUUCUACAGGUUUCACCUCUAAGGCCAGCUGAGGUUUGCUAGAGAGCAUCAGGUGGAUGACGAAGAAGUGCAAGUUGGGCCAAAGAUCAGCUAAAAGAGAUGCACCUCCAAUGCAAAAAACUGUUUUAACUUGAUAUUAAAGGUGUAUUUAGUUUGCAAUUUGUUCCCUACUGCAAGAAUCAUCCAUAAUAGCAGCUGAGGUUUGCUGAUGGAUGGCCAAGGAGGGCAGGUUAGGCCAUAAUCAGCUAAAAGAGAUGCACCUCCAACAUAAAAACUGCUUUAAAUAGAUAUUAAAGGCACAUUUACUUUGCAAUUUGUGUUUGCUCCUGCAGGAAUCACCUCUGAAACCAGCUGAGGUUUGCUAGAAAGCAUCAGAUGGAUGUCAAAGAAGGUUGGGCAGCUGAAAGAGACUCACCAGUACAAAAACAGCUCAUUCAAACUGUUUUAAAUUGAUAUUAAAAGCACAUUUGGUUUGAAAUUUGUGUUUGGAAUUACUCAGCCUCACCUAUAAUACCAGCUCAUCCCCAUUUCCCUUGUUUCCUUGAUCGACUUUGUUCUAAAAACUGCACGUUUGUCAUGUGAAGCACCUCUCGAGUUGGUCAGUAGCGCAAAUUUCAAAAGCUUCUGCCCACUCUCCUGAAAACACUGGUCACUUGUCCUCCCGACGUCUGACUCCGUGCAGCAAACACAGAGCAGGUUUCCAACUCGCCGCUCUCCACCGGUGCCGGAGAAAAAGCAGAGCACAAUGUAAUAAAGUGAACGUUGACAUUUAA